rnacentral:lncRNA from 1 species
AAGUACUUUUUAAAAAAAAAAGAAUAUGCUUUUCUGCUGGUUUUGAAGGAAGAAGGGGCAAUGAACCAAGGAAUGCAGGUGGCCUCUAGAUGCUGGAAAAGGCAAGGAAAUGAAUUGUCCCCUUAGGCUCCCAGAGGAAACACAGCCCCACCAACACCUUGAUUUUAGCCCAGUGAGAUCCAUUUCUGACCUCCAGAACUGGAACAUAAAUUUUUGUUGUUUUAAAUAACUGAGUUUAUGGUAAUUUGUUACAGCUGCAAUAGAAAACAAAUAUACAUUGUUGAUUCCUUAUUAUUAACGCAUGGCAAAUAAUUAUUUCCCUUUCAAUUAAAAAUAUAUUUUUAAAUAGCCCAAAAUAUGUCAGUCAUAGAGAUAACGAAAUAGUGAUAAUUAGUGCUAUGGUUAGUUAAAUCAGUUUGUCUGAAUGAUUAAUUUCACAAAAUAAUUUGAAUUCAAAGGGAUUCACUCUUUUUUUAAUCUCCAAUGAUUUACCAAAAAGAGUGUCCCAAAUAUGAUUAUCAUACUCUGGUGAAUGAAAAUAAUCUGGUAAAAUGAACCAUCAAUCACACUGUUAAAUAAUACAACAAGAAAAUGAAAUUCUAGAGAACACUGAAAAAUAUCAUGUUCUGAGUUCUUAUAUAAGAUUCAGUCACUGUAAACAGCUUGACAAAAAGGGUAAAAAUCUAUGAAUGAUGCUUCCUGUUGAUAAUACAAUUUUCACUGAAUAAAGAACUAAUUUUAGAAACUCUACAAACAUAUUCAUACCAAAUAAACUUGCAAAUGGCUAGAACAUUAGUGAACAUAUGUGAAAGAAUGCAAUCUUAGUAAAUGUGUUUUUAGUGUAAAAUGCCAAUUCUACAUUUUAGAUAGUGGCCUUCCUAAGAUGAAAUGUCCAUAUACCAGCUGAGACCCAGUUUAUCCCUGGAGGUACAGGAAGAAAUUUAGAACUUUAAUUUUUAAAAAUCGUAUCCUUUUAAACUUUCGAUUUUCCUCUGUGUAUGUUUUAUAAUGUACUUAACAGAUCAGUACAAUAGUAUACCCAUCAUUUAUAGAUAAUCAAAAUUUGGAUCUUAAAUUUUUUCUGAUGGAGAGUGCAUGAUUGAAAAAGUCCAGAAUGUCACUAACAAGAAUUACCAAGCCACUGCCAUUGUCAUAGCCUUGUGCUUGAUUUUGGUCUAAAAAUGCACAUAUAGGUAGUUUAAACAAAAAAUCUCCAGCAAUUACUAAAUCAAGUUUGCCAUCAACCUUUUAAACAGGUUAACCACACACAAAAAGUGUGUCAAAUGUUUCAAAGUAGCAUUUAUUUUUAAAAAAUCAUGUUAUGAGGUAGACUUAUAUCACAUAUUCAAUGCAUUUAUAAUAUAAAGGUUUUUUUAAAUUAAAACCUUAUAUGUUUAUGUAGGUGUGUAUAUAGAUAAAAUAAACUCAUCUACAACUCUACAUUCAUCCAUUUGAAAGACUCAAAACAAUUAAAAAGGUAAAAAGCCAAUUAUAGUUUUAGAAAGCUUUUGUAAUUCUGAAAUGAAGAACAUUUGAUCUGUCCAAAAAUUUGUGGGAAGGAGGUGGUUUUAAUUUCAGAAGUUAUUUUACUAAAUUAUACAUUUUAUAGCUAAUUCUCAAUGAAUGUGAAUAUCUUUAUUAGAAGGUAAGUGAAAGAUACUGUAACUCUUUUAUUACUUUGUACCCAUCAUGUCAAAAUGAUUACAUCUAAGUAGGACCAGCUACAUAAUUUGCAAGCCCAGUACAAAAUAAAAAUGCAGUGCCCUUGUUCAAAAAGUUGAGAAUUUCAAGAUGGCUAUAGCAAAGCAUUAAAGUAAGCAUGAGGCCUUUCAACUUUUUUUUUAUUUUUUUUAUUUUUUUGAGGCAAUCUCACUCUGUUGCCCAGGCUGGAGUGCAGUGGUGUGCUCUCAGCUUACUGCAGUCUCAACUUCUUGGGCUCAGGUGAUCCUCCCACCUCAGUUUCCCGAGUAGCUGGGACUAUAGGUGUAUGCCGCCAUGCCUGGCUAAUUGUGUUUUCAUUUUUUGUAGAAAUGGGGUCUCAUUAUGUUCCCCAGGCUGGUCUCAAACUCCCGGGCUCAAGCGAUCCUCCUGCCUCGGCUUCCCAAAGUGCUGGGAUUACAGGUGUGAGCUACUGCACCCAGCCUACAUGGAAUCUUUCUAAGUAUGGGACACUAUGUAACUGCACAUGUACAACCUCUUUAAGCCAGCCCUGAAUCUAAAUCUCUUUCAACUACAGCUAUGGAAUACCAAGACGAUAGUUAUCUUUGUCCCUUGAGUUCCCAGUACUAAACUAGGCAUAUAAUAGGGAUUCAAAUGUUCGUUGAAUGAAAAACUGAGUCUUAACUUGCAGUUUUCCAAGUCAAUGAGAAAUGCCAUAUAUGGUGAAGGUUCAUUUGAU